rnacentral:rRNA from 1 species
AGUGAACGCUGGCGGUAGGCCUAACACAUGCAAGUCGAACGGCAGCACAGUAAGAGCUUGCUCUUACGGGUGGCGAGUGGCGGACGGGUGAGGAAUACAUCGGAAUCUACUUUUUCGUGGGGGAUAACGUAGGGAAACUUACGCUAAUACCGCAUACGACCUACGGGUGAAAGCAGGGGAUCUUCGGACCUUGCGCGAUUGAAUGAGUCGAUGUCGGAUUAGCUAGUUGGCGGGGUAAAGGCCCACCAAGGCGACGAUCCGUAGCUGGUCUGAGAGGAUGAUCAGCCACACUGGAACUGAGACACGGUCCACACUCCUACGGGAGGACGCAGUGGGGAAUAUUGGACAAUGGGCGCAAGCCUGAUCCAGCCAUACCGCGUGGGUGAAGAAGGCCUUAGGGUUGUAAAGCCCUUUUGUUGGGAAAGAAAAGCAGCAGGUUAAUACCCCGCUGUUCUGACGGUACCCAAAGAAUAAGCACCGGCUAACUUCGUG